CAGUGCGCGUGUGUAUGUGUGUGUUUGACAAGUGAUCGAAGGCCCCAAAUGUCGCUGUGAAAAUGUCUCAAAAAA